GUACGAUUAUACCUUGCUCCUGGUGGUCC
rnacentral:sRNA from 1 species